rnacentral:rRNA from 1 species
UGGGGAAUUUUGGACAAUGGGGGAAACCCUGAUCCAGCCAUCCCGCGUGUGCGAUGAAGGCCUUCGGGUUGUAAAGCACUUUUGGCAGGAAAGAAACGUCAUGGGUUAAUACCCCGUGAAACUGACGGUACCUGCAGAAUAAGCACCGGCUAACUACGUGCCAGCAGCCGCGGUAAUACGUAGGGUGCAAGCGUUAAUCGGAAUUACUGGGCGUAAAGCGUGCGCAGGCGGUUCGGAAAGAAAGAUGUGAAAUCCCAGAGCUCAACUUUGGAACUGCAUUUUUAACUAACGGGCUAGAGUGUGUCAGAGGGAGGUGGAAUUCCGCGUGUAGCAGUGAAAUGCGUAGAUAUGCGGAGGAACACCGAUGGCGAAGGCAGCCUCCUGGGAUAACACUGACGCUAAUGCACGAAAGCGUGGGGAGCAAACAGG